rnacentral:lncRNA from 1 species
GACUAAUAUAAAGUGGAUGACAUAUAUAGGCCUACUAUUCUAUUCCAUUCUAUUCAUUCCAAACUCGUAUGAUCUUUCGCUUUGAUUGAGGUGAGAUUGAGGCCAUCAAUCGAGCAUAUUCCGGCAAACAUGUGUGUAACACAGAAAGUACAUGGGUUUGGUACAACACGAGGAUUUACAUUUGUGUGAACUAUUACGAAAGUGUGAGUGCAGCAUUUCGAUUACCACUGACCAAGUUCUGCUUUCGAGCCGCUGAUCAUAUCGUGCCACGCGCAGUGUGAGCGUGCUUGUGCUUCCCUCGCGCGCUGUGAGCGCGCCGCUGACGUCACCGCGGGAGUGUUCCAUCGGGAGAGAUUAACGGAUAUCAGCACAAUUCUCUCUCAGCCCUCAUCAUGUGAUGAUAAUUCUACAUUUAUGAGGGCCAAGCUGACUGAAGUGUCAAGAGGACAGCUUACCCAGCAUUGAGGGCUGUUGUCUAUUUUCAGUUCUGGAUUUCCUGUUAGAUUUAUCCACAGUAUCAUAUUUCUGUGUUGAGAAGAAGACUGAGCAGGAUGACUGGAACUGAAGGUAUGGAGAGUUUUGUCAUUCAUCACAUACAUUUUUGAUUUAGGAAGGACUUUGUAAUUAGGGCUGCACGAUUAAUCGAAUGUGAUUGUCAUGCGCAUUUUGAUAGUAAUGCCGGUUCUGUAAUCAGCAGGAAAGCAUCAUCACGUGCUUUCAGAUGGAGCAGAAUUUACUACACAUAUUGUUAACUGACAAGUUACAAAAUAAAAUCCCGGACGAUUUUAUUGCGCGAUUAUGAAAUCGUUCGCGAUAAUGACAGCUGUUUGCAUAGCUUCUCAGUGAACUACGGCUCUGUGAAGUAAAUGCGGCUCCAUCUGAAAGCAUGUGAAAAUACCACAUUUAAUAACAUAUUUUUACUCCAAACUCACUUCAUAACGUCAGUUGAGUGUUUGAAAUAAAUCCUUCUGUGAGAUUACACAGAAUAAGGCACGCAACAUAU